CACGUAGGGGCCGAGCGUUGUCCGGAUUCAUUGGGCGUAAAGCGCGCGUAGGCGGCUCGGAAAGUCGGGCGUGAAAUGCCUCGGCUUAACCGGGGAACUGCGUCUGAUACUGGAUGGCUUGAGUUCGGGAGAGGGAUGCGGAAUUCCAGGUGUAGCGGUGAAAUGCGUAGAUAUCUGGAGGAACACCGGUGGCGAAGGCGGCAUCCUGGACCGACACUGACACUGAGGAGCGAAAGCCAGGGGAGCAAACGGG
rnacentral:rRNA from 1 species